rnacentral:snRNA from 1 species
AUGGGAUUGCUUCUUCAUCGGGA